rnacentral:lncRNA from 1 species
UUAUCCACAUCUACAUUCUGGAAAGGAAGAAUAAUGAGAGGAAGGAUGAUGAGAGAAGAGACAGAAGAAUGAUACUCAUUGUGAGGUUGGCUGAUACCUCCAGCUGCCAGAUGAGGCUUCUCCAGGACAGGUGCAAGUGUACAUCAGGGAUGUUAGCCCAGCCCUCUGGAAGGUAUUUGAAGUACCAGUAUGACGAAACGUGCCUCCCAUCCCCACAUCUGAGCACAGCCCUUGCACGGAUUGAGGGUGAGUCCAGAUAUGAAGGCUUGCUGGUAAAGAAAUUUCCAGGACGAGAUGUCUGCAGCAAGCAGUCCACCCUCCAUUAAGAACCUCUGAGGACAUCAAGAAAAUACAGAAAUGGAGAAACUCUGGAAUGGGAAUGGGAAGAAGGCUACGGUUUUGCCCUGAGUGAGAGCCUUGGCUUUUCCUUCCACGGAUUUGGCUGCAGAUCCAGAGAGAUGGGAGCAGGAGGCUUCUGAGGAGAGCUGAAGCCACCAACUGUUCUGGAAGCCCUGGUUUUAGGAGUGGUAAACAAAGAGAAAAGGAGAUAGGUUGUCAGCCCAGCUUCAGAAUGAAGAUCUUGGGGAAGGACUCCAAGAGGCUGGACAUGGACAAUGUGCUUUAUCCUCGACCAGCAUCACAGCCAAAGACCAGGAUGAGUCAAGCAGUGCCUCUGAUUAUGAGCGCACCCUCAAGUUCGCCCAAAGUGCAGUGUGGAGGGAGGAUUCCUGAAUUUGGAGGCCUCAGUGGGAACAGAUAGACCCAAGAGGAAACAAACUAGGAGUCCAGUCAAGCCACUGGAGGCCCAGAGGAUGUUGCAAGGACAGCAGACAUGUGGUUUAGAGGAACAGGGGGCAGACAGGCAGCAGAGUCCAGCAAUAGCUGAGACAAUGGUACAAGGGAGGCUGCCUAAUUUAUAGCACCCCACGGUCCCCAAGUGCUGAUUGUGGCCCAAGAGGAGUCAGAGACCAGCAGGUGAGGCUGGGGUUUAGAGUAAGAAGCAAAGUGGUCUGGAUGGGCAAGGUCCACUACCCUAUCUGGGAGAGGAGGAAACUUUCGUGUGUGAUGUGCCCAGGAGUACUGCAGAAUCAAUAACCACGGACUCCUCUGAACCUCCAAGACAUAAGCCAUUCCUGUUGUUUGAGGUACCGUGGGCCAUAAGCAUGGGCAGAAGGGCAAUCUCUUUAAAACCAUCAAGAGCAACUACGUAUCGUUCCAAGAUUGAAAGACCAGUAUGGCUAAGAUGUAAAUUCUCUCAAAUUUGUCUAUGGAUUCCACACAAUCACAGUCAAAAUUCAAGCAGACUUUUUUUAAAAAUAGAAUUUGACAAGCUGGUACUAAAAUGUGUAUAGCAAUGCAAAACAUCUAAAAUAGCCCAAAUGAUUUUGAAAAAGAACUGGGUUGGAGAACCCACCCUCGCUGAUUUUAAGACCUACUGAAGAGCUAUUUUACUCAAGACUGCAUAGCGCUGGCAUAGGGUUGACUUAUAUAUCAAUGAGGCAGAAUAGAGAGUCAAGAAAUAGACCCAUACAUGUAUGUCUAAUUUAUUCUCAACAGAGGAGGCAAGACAAUUUGAUGAAUGAAAGGAAAAUCUUUUCAACAAACUGUGCUGGAACAACUAAAAGUCCAUGCAGAAAAGAAAAAAAAAAAGAACCAAGAAACUUUAUCCUUACUUUAUCCUCACCACACUGAAAAUUUGACUUGAAGUGGAUUUAAACCUAAAUAUGAAAGCCAACUGUAGACUUUUAGAAAAAGCUGUGGGAGAAAACCUUCACAAUCUUGAGUUAGGCAGAUAUUUCUUAGGACACAAAGAGCAUAAACUGUUCACAAAAAACUGUGAUAAAUUGAACUUUAUCAAAAUUUAGAACUUCUGCUCUUUGAAAACUACCAUUAUGAAAAGACAAGCUGCAGAUCAGAAGAAGAUAUUUAUAUUACAUAUAUCUGACAACUUAUAUCUGAAAUAUAUAAAGAACUCUUACAACUUAAUAAGACAACUUAAUAAAAAUAUUAGCACAUGAUUUCACAGACACCUCCCAAAAGAGGAUAUAGAAAUGCUGUAUAAGCCCAUGAAAAGAUGCUCAACAUCAUUAGUUCAUCAGAAGAAGUGUCAAUUAAAACUAUGGAUACUAUUACACACACCCUGGAAUAGUUAAAAAGACUAAUCAUCCUUAGUAUUACUUAGUAUCCGGAGCAAUAAUCACACAAAUGAUGCUGCUAUGAAUGUAAAAUGGUACAACUACUUUUGAAAACAGUUUGAGAGUUUCUAAUAAGGUUAAACAUAAAUUUACCAUAUGAGAUGCCAACUGGACACUUAAGUAUUUAGCAAAGUAAAAGGAAAACAAAUGUCCCCACAAAGACUUAGACAGGAAGUACAAAGCACACCAUAGCUCCAAACUGCUGUGUCAUAAUAGCUUCAAACACAUGUCAAUCAACAGGUGAAUGAAUAAACAAGCUGUAACCUGGAGCUUCACAGCUUGACUUAAAUUCAGCCAUGUCAGGAAUCAUCUUUUUAAAUUACAAACAUAGGUUUGUAAUGUCAUACUCCUUAGCAAUUUAGAAAGAUGAGCUCAUGAUGCAUUCAGCAAUGUGGAUUACUCACACCACAUUCUGCUGUGUGAAAUAAGCCAGGCAUAAAACAGUACACAUCAUAAGGUUCUGUUCAUAUCAAUCUCUAGAAAAGACUGAUCAACCAUUACAGCAAUUAUAAAUAGUGCUGCAAUGAACAUACAUGUGCAUGUAUCUUUGUAAUAGAAUGAUUUCUAUUUCUUUGGGUAUAUACCCAGGAAUGGGAUUGCUGGAUCAAAUGUUAUUCCUGUUUCUAGAUGUUUGAGGAAUCGCCAUACUGUCUUCCACAAUGGUUGAACUAAUUUACAUUCCCAGCAAUAAUGUAAAAGCAUUCUUAUUUCUCUGCAACCUCACCAGCAUCUGUUGCUUCUUGACUUUUUAGUAAUGGCCAUUAUGUCUGGCGUGAGAUGGUAAUUUAUUGUGGCUUUGAUUUGCAUUUCUCUAAUGAUCAGUGAUGUUGAGCUUUUUUUCAUGUUUGUUGGCUGCAUGAAUGUCUUCUUUUGAGAAGUUUCUGUUCAUGUCCUUUGCCCACUUUUUGAUGGGACUGUUUUUUUGUUCUUGUAAAUUUGUUUAACUUCCUUGUAGAUUCUGGAUAUUAGAUCUUUGUCUGAUAGAUUGCAAAAAUUUUCUCCCACUCUGUGGUACACAUACACAUGGAAUACUAUGAAGCCAUGAAAAGCAAUGAGAUCAUAUUCUUUGCAGGCAUGUGGAUGGAGCUGGAAGCCAUUAUCCUCAGCAAACUAAAUGCAGGAACA